rnacentral:tRNA from 1 species
GCCUUAGUAGUAUAAAAAUUACAUUGGUUUUGUAAACCAAAAAUGAAGUUAUAACCUUCCUAAGACA